GGGCCUAUGGCGCAAUUGGUAGCGCGUAGUAAGUUAUCCCUAUCCAAUCCUGGAUUACCAACAUCGUCUAACCACUUCAACAGCGACUCCAGAUCGUAAGGUUGUCCGAUCGAGCCGGGCUGGGCUCA